rnacentral:misc_RNA from 1 species
GAUGAAGAACGUAGUGAAAUGCGAUAAGUAAUGUGAAUUGCAGAAUUCAGUGAAUCAUCGAGUCUUUGAACGCACAUUGCGCCCCCUGGUAUUCCGGGGGGCAUGCCUGUCCGAGCGUCAUUGCUGCCCUCAAGCACGGCUUGUGUGUUGGGCCGUCGUCCCCCUCCUAGGGGACGGGCCCGAAAGGCAGCGGCGGCACCGCGUCCGGUCCUCGAGCGUAUGGGGCUUCGUCACCCGCUCCGUAGGCCCGGCCGGCGCUUGCCGACGACCAUCAAUCUCUUUCUCCAGGUUGACCUCGGAUCAGGUAGGGAUACCUGCUGAACUUAAGCAUAUCAAUAAGCGGAGGA